GUCAUUCCAAGGCACUCCAACUCUAUGUAUACCAUAAUGAGCAUAGCAUAAAUAAAUAUAUCUAUAGAUAAAUAAAUAUAUGUUCCUGGAGCAUAGUCAUCUUAAAGCUCUAUAUAUAAAACCACGGUCUUCUCACAAAUGGACAAUAACCCGAUAGGAGUCCCACUCGCGGUACUGAAACCCACACAAAUGUGAAAGAAAGUAAUAACCGAAUUCCCGAUACCUGGUUCA
rnacentral:misc_RNA from 1 species